rnacentral:lncRNA from 1 species
UGUGUACCCUACAUUCUGUGCUGCUGUUUUGCAUAAUGCUUCCCAGCCUGUUUGAACCUAGCUUCAGGCUCUCUCAGGUCUCUUUCAGGUCUCUUUUGUCCCAGGGACAAAUCUCUCUUGAGAACUGCAGUAUCAGCCUCAUGUGUUGCUCAGUUUUAAGCAAAUAACCGGAGGCUGGUUACAGUAAGGUUCAUUAGUAGGUUUCACAUCUUGCAUGAAGCAAGAUCAAAAAACAUUUUUUUUUUUUCCCAGUGAUUUGGAGCACUCCGGGUGUAACCUGGCUGUCAAAACAGGCUGAAACAGGCAACACUUGGGACAUUCAGGCCAGGGGGAGUGCCACUAAACCAUCUCAGCAGGUGCGAUACUGUCCUGCACCCAUCAGUUCGAAGAUCUGUCUUUUUCUCCAGGACUUGAUGAGGCACCUGGCUCUCGAGGCUGCCAUCCACAGACCAGCCCGAGCACAUGCACACACCUGUCUGCAGCCCGACCAGCACAAGCCAUCUGCUGCCAAGGAAGGUUUCCUCGGGAUCAGAGUCACUAAAACUUCCUUAAGGUAUGCAGGAGUCCUUCCAGACUGCAAAAUGAAAAUCACUGCUCGGAAUCACUGCAUUCAAAGUGGGGAAAUAUCCCUUUAAGGAAACCCAUUGGCAAUAUAACUAAAGGCCCUUAGGCCAAGAUGAUAUUCAACAUAACUCCACCAAGUCAAGAGAAAUACACCAGGGAUUAAGUUUGGCCCAAUAGCAAAAACCACAGGCAAGUGAGACUGAUUCCCAGAAUCAAGUUGACCUGAAAAAUGUAGUUAGGUUUUGCCCUUAAAGGAAUAAUUUUCUUAAUAACAACAGAUAAAACUAAAUGCUUGUCAAAAUUAUUACAAGCAUAUGGGGAUGAGAUGAUCAACAUUGCAUGAAUUAUUUCCUUCAGCAGCUGUACUUCUAGUUCAUUCUUUCACUGCUCUUUAAUUCCUGAGCUUUUGACCUUUGCACUGCUCUUCUAGAUUUACUACCUGCCCUAUCCAUUCUUGGCUUGUUAGACCCACAGACUGUGUGGUUUUGGUGAUAAUCCUAGGUUUGCCACUGACUUUCUGUGGGAAUUUCAUGGCUUGACUUUUUUUUCCUCACUAUCCUCCAACUCUAUCUCUAGAAGUACAUCAAUACAUGAACUAUAUGCCAGACAAUAUUAAGGAUUAAAUACCUAAUUUUAUCUUUCUGGAUUUGGCCCUUGGUCUCCAACUUAAUGCUGUGCAACCAUUACCAAGCAAGGAUAGUGGUUAGCAUAAGGAAAAGAAAUUCUCAG